UUCUGAUUAGUUUACUAUAUAUAGUGGCCCAAGUAUAUAUGACUAAAUAUUGUCAGGUUGUCAUGAACUGUUCUGAUUAGUUUACUAUGUAUAGUGGCCCUAGUAUAUAUGAAUAAGUAUUGUCAGGUUGUU